rnacentral:rRNA from 1 species
AUUGAACGCUGGCGGCAGGCUUAACACACGCAAGUCGAGCGAGCGGCGGACGGGUGAGUAAUGUCUGGGAAACUGCCUGAUGGAGGGGGAUAACUACUGGAAACGGUAGCUAAUACCGCAUACCAUCAGAUGUGCCCAGAUGGGAUUAGCUAGUCGGUGGGGUAAUGGCUCACCUAGGCGACGAUCCCUAGCUGGUCUGAGAGGAUGACCAGCGACACUGGAGCUGAGACGCGGUCCAGACUCCUACGGGGGGCAGCAGUGGGGGAUAUUGCACAAUGGGCGCAAGCCUGAUGCAGCCAUGCCGCGUGUGUUAAGAAGGCCUUCGGGUUGUAAAGCACUGCAGCGAGGAAGCGUUACUCGCAGAAGAAGCACCGGCUAACUCCGUGCCAGCAGCCGCGGUAAUAC